rnacentral:misc_RNA from 1 species
GGAACUGCUGAAGUGUUUCUCAUACUGGAAACACUUACAUUCAUUUGAUAACUUACUUUUUUACUCAUACUGAACUUUUUGGUUACCUCCAUGUCAGCAUAAUUGGUUUCUAAGGAGUAAAUCAUUGCCCUACUAUAUAAUAUUUUUCAUCCUUCUUUGCCAUGAAUGAUAAAGCAUUUUGAAAGUUACUUCCAAAUCCCAUCCUGGGCAUUUUGAUGUUGUUUUAUCAUUCAAUUUCUUAGAUGCAUCAUCUUUCAUUUUUGGUUAGUCAAAGUUAAACAUAUUGCUUUCUAUUGCCUGUGCAUUUUCUGUUUACAGCUUUUCCCCUUAGUAGUUUACCACUCUGUUGCUUAAAAGUAAAUAAUGCACUUAAAAUCUU